rnacentral:rRNA from 1 species
CUGGUUGAUCCUGCCAGUAGUCAUAUGCUUGUCUCAAAGAUUAAGCCAUGCAUGUCUAAGUCCAAGCUGUGUUUACACGGCGAGACCGCGGACGGCUCAUUAAAUCAGUCGUGGUCUACAUGGGCCAGUGCAAAUCCUACUUGGAUAACUGUGGUAAUUCCAGAGCUAAUACAUGCAACUGAUAUCCCGAAGGCUGGUGCUUGCUUGUCUUGCACUUUGCUCUGACGGAUGCUUUUAUUAGACCAAGCCGCUGAGGACUUGAUUGCUCACGCUUUCUUGUUCGACUCGUGUGAUGGUGACUCUGGAUAACCAAUUCUGACAAGCGAACGUACUCCUCUUUGAGCGAGACGGCGCUGCCACUUUCGAGUGUCUGCCUUAUCAGCUAUCAACCGUUCGUUAUGCGCGACCGAUGGCUUUGACGGGUAACGGGGAAUCAGGGUUCGAUUCCGGAGAGGCAGCCUGAGAGACGGCUACCACGUCCAAGGACGGCAGCAGGCACGCAAAUUACCCAAUCCCAGCAAAUGGGGGAGGUAGUGACGAAAUCUAACGAUGCGGGCGCCCUUUCUGGGGCCCCGCAAUCGGAAUGGGCACUUUCUAAAACACCUGUU